rnacentral:rRNA from 1 species
GAGCAACCUGCCCCUGACUCUGGGAUAAGCGCCGGAAACGGCGUCUAAUACUGGAUAUGUGACGUGACCGCAUGGUCUGCGUUUGGAAAGAUUUUUCGGUUGGGGAUGGGCUCGCGGCCUAUCAGCUUGUUGGUGAGGUAAUGGCUCACCAAGGCGUCGACGGGUAGCCGGCCUGAGAGGGUGACCGGCCACACUGGGACUGAGACACGGCCCAGACUCCUACGGGAGGCAGCAGUGGGGAAUAUUGCACAAUGGGCGAAAGCCUGAUGCAGCAACGCCGCGUGAGGGAUGACGGCCUUCGGGUUGUAAACCUCUUUUAGCAGGGAAGAAGCGAAAGUGACGGUACCUGCAGAAAAAGCGCCGGCUAACUACGUGCCAGCAGCCGCGGUAAUACGUAGGGCGCAAGCGUUAUCCGGAAUUAUUGGGCGUAAAGAGCUCGUAGGCGGUUUGUCGCGUCUGCUGUGAAAUCCCGAGGCUCAACCUCGGGCCUGCAGUGGGUACGGGCAGACUAGAGUGCGGUAGGGGAGAUUGGAAAUUCCUGGUGUAGCGGUGGAAUGCGCAGAUAUCAGAGAACACCGAUGGCGAAGCAGAUCUCUGGGCCGUAACUGACGCUGAGGAGCGAAAGGUGGGGAGCAAACAGGCUUAGAUACCCUGG